CACGUAGGCGGCGAUAUCAGUCGAUAGUGAAAUCCCACCGUUCAACGGUGGAACUGCUGUCGAAACAGUAUUGCUUGAGGAUGUCAGGGGAGCGCGGAAUUCUUGGUGGAGCGGUGAAAUGCGUAGAUAUCAAGAAGAACGCCGGCGGCGAAGGCGGCGCUCUGGGGCAUUCUUGACGCUGAGGUGCGAAAGCUAGGGGAGCAAACA
rnacentral:rRNA from 1 species